GUCCCCGUAGCGCCAUUGGUAGUGCGUUGGACUUCUCAUCCAAAGGUCGUGGGUUCGAAUUCCACUUGGGAUG
rnacentral:tRNA from 1 species